rfam:Picea glauca, whole genome shotgun sequence.
GGGUGCGAUCAUACCAACGUUAGUGCAACGGAUCCUAUCAGAACUCCGCAGUUAAGAGCGCUUGGGAUAGAAUAGUACUGGGAUGGGUGACCUUCUGGGAAUUCCUAUUGUUGCACCCU